rnacentral:rRNA from 1 species
ACGGCCCAGACUCCUACGGGAGGCAGCAGUGGGGAAUAUUGCACAAUGGGGGAAACCCUGAUGCAGCCAUGCCGCGUGUGUGAAGAAGGCCUUCGGGUUGUAAAGCACUUUCAGUAGGGAGGAAAGGUAGCAGCUUAAUACGCUGUUGCUGUGACGUUACCUACAGAAGAAGGACCGGCUAACUCCGUGCCAGCAGCCGCGGUAAUACGGAGGGUCCGAGCGUUAAUCGGAAUUACUGGGCGUAAAGCGUGCGCAGGCGGUUUGUUAAGCGAGAU